GCUGACACAUGCCUGCCAAUCUCCGGCAGACCCUCCCUCCCAGACCCUCCUACUUCCUGGACAGCAUCCAUGUUGAAGGCAGCUUCAACAUGGAUGCUGUCCAGGAGGUGGGAGGGUCUGGGAGGGAGGGUCUGCCGGAGAUUGGCAGGGAUGUGUCAG
rnacentral:miRNA from 1 species